rnacentral:lncRNA from 1 species
UGUUUAGUGUUUUUCCAAGGGUUUAGGGUUUACCCAAGGGUUUAAGGUUUUUCCAAGGGUUUAGGGUUUAGGAUUAGAGUUUAGGGUUUAGUGUUUUGUUGACAACAUGUUUAGUGUUUUUCCAAGGGUUUAUGGGUUUACCCAAGGAUUUAGGGUUUACCCAAAGAUUUAGGGUUUAGGAUUUGAGUCUAGGGUUUAGUAUUAGAGUUUAGGGUUUAGUGUUUUGUUGACACAUUUUUUUUUUUUUUGAAUUCUUUUUUUAUAUAUUAUUUUUAUUUAUUUUUAAAUUUUAUUUUGAAAAAAUAAUAUAAUUUGCCAAGUUAUUUGGUUUCUUUAAUUAAAAGAUACUAGAUUUAAAAUGACAAUUUUCU